ensembl:lncRNA
UCGUCAGUUUCUAUAAUAUCUAAAUUCUAAAUCAAAAUGCAUAUCUGAUAUUAGCAUCAAACAAACAAUAUAAUUGAAAAUUAGGCCAUUAUUCAUCUGGCCCAUAUGUAUACAUCUUUUGUUAAGCCAACGACGUGAUAAAGUUUCCUUUUCUGGUGUGAAGGUGUUAUGAAUAAAGCUUAUUAUAAAAAGUUCACCUGUUUUCUUUCUCUCAAGAUGUUGAAUGAAGAGUUCGAGGGUCAGUGUUCAGAGCUGAGCUCUGCUCUUCAUUCGUUAACACUGGAAAACACUCGACUACAGACAGAAUAUCACCACAAAAUUAAGCUAUUUCUAUUUAAUUUCGGUUUUAAUGUCAAUUCAUCUCACUUGUAGAUUGUUAGAUUAGGCUGAUGACAAAAUGAUCCUUGAAAGCCAUUACCAAAACUACACAAGAUAAAAGAAAAUAUGAUUGUUAAUCACAGUUCUGACAUAAUGCACUGUAAAUGAGAUCAGGAUUUUAAUGUUUGUAAUCAUCAGCUCUUUUUAUUUCUCUCAAAGGGAGGCACUGAAGGCAGAUCAUGGCAAACUGCAGCAGAGUUCCACCGUUUCCCCGGAGACGGCUGUCAAUCAUCAGCAGAUGCUGGAACGCAGCAUCCAGAGGCUUCAGGGGGAGCUCAGCUGUGCUGUGAAAGAUGGAGAGACCCUGAGAGAAGAGAGUGAUCAGAUAAAGAGGAAGACGCAGAGAGAAAUCAGACACUAAAAGAGCAACUCUGUGCAGCAACACCACAGAGACACUGUGAGUUUUUCAUAAGAAGGACAGUUGGAACCUAUUAGUUGAAUUAACAAAAGAUAAAUUUUUAUGUUUUGUGCGUAACAGAAUGAAGUAGCACAAACUUUGGAGAAAGUCCUGUCGUCUCACUCUCGUCUGCAGCAGAACACACGGACACUGAUGCAGAGCUAAGAGAAAGAGCACAGGAACUACACACACUCAGGAGAGAGAGACUGCAGGCUAUGUUAGAGAUUCAGAGGCUUGAAGCUGAAGUAGAGAAUCACAACACAAGGAACAAUGAGAAGCUGAAGAAGGCACUAAAUGAUGCAUCUGCAAAGUCAGGUGACCUCUCACGAGCCAAUCAGGAGCUUCGAGAGAAGGUGUCUGAGCUGGAAAAGUUGGUGUCCAAUCAGAAGUCUCGACUGAGUCAGUAUCUGGACAACAGAACAGCUCUGAAACACUCUCUGAGAAUCAAGCACCUGGAAGAGAGUUUGAAACGGCUCCAGGAUGAGGCAGAAGUGAGACUCAGGGAAGUUUAUCUGGAGUCACAGCAGAUCACAGAGAACAUGGACGAGGACCACAGAGGGCUCUGCUCUAAAUCUGAGAGCUUUAAUGGCCAGGCUGAGCCACAGAAACUCACAGAGCUUUCGCAAGAGGGGAGAAGACAGCACAUGGUCCACUUCAGCUCAGGAGAUUGUCUUUUGGGUUUUCUUUCGGGAUCGCCGGUGACCCGCUGUGUGGAAACGCACUGAGCCAUGCGUCAGUUGAAGGGCAAGCCGAAGAAGGAGUCAUGGAAGGACAAAAAGGAGCGCAAACAGGCCAUGCAGGAGGCGCGGGAGCAGGUGACAACCAUCGUUCUACCGACGCUCAUCUUGCUCGUGCUGCUCAUCGUCCUCCUCGUCUACGUGGCGACGAGACCCGGAGCCAUCGAGUAAAAAGACUCCAAAUAGCCAAAUCUCCUCUGCCCUUGUCUUUCUCUUUCAUUUCCCCUUGUUCCUUCACAAUGCAGAGUUCAGUGGAUGAAUUGGACACAGUCAUAAAGAUGAAUGGAUUGAUAAAGGAGUGCUUUUCUGUGUCAUGUUUGGAGUAUGUUGAAGGAGUCUUCCAUUUCGGCUUCUGACAGAGCACCUCUCCCAGCCACCAGCAUUCGCGUCUGUGGCAGCCAUGUUGGCUCCAAAUGCAUUUACAGGGUUCUAGUUUCAUGCCAAAGCACCUGAGACACAGCAGACUCAGACUGACCCAGGAACCGGGCCAGAUCUGAUGCCUCUGUGCUCAAAGUCAAUACAAAUGAGAAGUGACUGUAGUAUUGCACAUGUUUGUAGCAUGCAAAUGCACACACACACACAGAUCCACAAAUGAACAUUGAUGGGUGUCACAUGAAACCAUUUAUGACAGAAUUGUAUGUUACCCAGAAUGUAUACUUCUUAUUGCUCAUUACCGAAUCCCUUAACAAGCAGUUCCUGAUGUUUUUGGUUAAUGUGUGUGUGUGUGUGUGUAAGCAUAUGCACAAUGAAGUGCAUGUUUCUGUCACAUCUGUGAUAUACAAUCAAAGCAGCAAACGUACUCUUAUUUUAAAAUGUAUUCCAGCAGGACUUGGAUCUAAAAAUGUGCCUUAAUGUUUAAUGACAUAACAGCAUUUAAAGUAUUAAUAAAGAAAUAGAAAGCCAUGCUGACUGCUUUAAG